GGUCUUCUUUUGGACAUCUUAAAGGACCCUGGCCAGGAUGCUCCCCUUGCAAAAGUGCUCUUUUAUGAUCCCUACCCACUUAAGAAGCUGAUGGAGCUGUUCAUUACCGCAGAGGGAACCCACACUGGAAAGUUUGAAAGUUUCUUUUUGAAAGUUUCUGUGGCAAGAAGGCCCAGCUGAAUAUCUGCCAUGUUUUGCUCAUGGGUACCAUGUCUGAGGAUUCUAUCAUGUAUUUUUCUGUAGGACAAGCCUGGGGACUGGAGCAAGCUGGUACAAGCUUCUAGGAACUAUACCAUAGUCAUCUCCCACAACCUGGAGACCAAGAAGACCUGAAUGAAGCUGCCUUCAGGGUCCAAGAAGGUGAAUUCCUCAGCCAACAGAGCUGUUGUU
rnacentral:lncRNA from 1 species